UACGUAGGGGGCGAGCGUUGUCCGGAUUUACUGGGCGUAAAGAGCGCGCAGGCGGUCGUUCAAGUCGCGUGUGAAAGCCCCCGGCUCAACUGGGGAGGGUCACGCGAUACUGAUCGACUCGAAGGCAGGAGAGGGUAGUGGAAUUCCCGGUGUAGUGGUGAAAUGCGUAGAUAUCGGGAAGAACACCUAUGGCGAAGGCAGCUCUCUGGGACGGUACUGACGCUGAGACGCGAAAGCGUGGGGAGCGAACAGG
rnacentral:rRNA from 1 species